UCGGCUGGGCGGCUGGAAACGGUGGCCGCCGCCGGUGACUCAGGGAGGCGGGAGGCGGGAGGCGGGGUAAGAGCGCCGCGGCCUCGGCUGAGGGGAGCGGAGGAAGAAAGGGAGGAGCCCUUCCUGCAGCGUGGAAACCAUGGUGCUCACGUUCGGAGAAAGUUGGCCAGUAUUGGUAGGGAAGCGAUUCCUCAGUCUGUCCGCAGCCGACGGCAGCGACGGCGGCCACGACAGCUGGGACUUGGAGCGCGUCGCCGAGUGGCCCUGGCUCUCCGGGACCAUUCGAGCCGUCUCCCACACCGACGUUACUAAGAAGGAUCUGAAGGUGUGUGUGGAGUUUGAUGGGGAAUCUUGGAGGAAGAGAAGAUGGAUAGAUGUCUACAGCCUUCUAAGGAGAGCCUUUUUAGUGGAACAUAACUUGGUUUUGGCUGAACGAAAGUCUCCUGAAGUUUCUGAGCGAAUUGUUCAGUGGCCUGCGAUAAUGUACAGAUCUCUGCUGGACAAAGCUGGUUUGGGAUCCAUAACGUCUAUUCGCUUUUUAGGAGAUCAACAAAGAGUAUUUCUUUCUAAAGACCUUUUAAAGCCUAUACAGGAUGUAAACAAUCUUCGACUUUCACUUAUCGAUAAUCAGAAUGUCAGUAAAGAAUUUCAAGCUUUGAUUGUGAAACAUUUGGAUGAAAGCCAUCUUUUACAAGGUGACAAAAACUUAGUUGGUUCAGAAGUAAAAAUUUAUAGCUUGGACCCAUCUACACAGUGGUUUUCUGCUACCAUUGUAAAUGGAAACCCAACAUCAAAAACUCUUCAAGUCAACUGUGAGGAGGUUCCAGCACUGAAAAUUGUCGAUCCAUCACUGAUUCAUGUUGAAGUUGUACAUGAUAACUUUGUGACAUGUGGUAAUUCUACAAGAAUUGGGGCUGUAAAACGCAAAUCUUCUGAGAAUAAUGGAAGCCUGGUUUCCAAACAAGCAAAAUCUUGCUCUGAGGCCUCUCCCAGUGUGUGUCCUGUACAGUCUGUUCCCACAACAGUUUUUAAGGAGAUACUGCUCGGCUGCACUGCAGCAACUCCGCCAAGUAAGGACCCGAGACAUCAGAGUACUCCCCAGGCUGCCAACUCGCCACCUAACCUUGGAGCAAAAAUUCCUCAAGGAAGUCAUAAACAGAUUUUACCAGAACUUUCUUCCUGUCUAAAUACAAAGCCUGAAAUACUGAGAACACCAGAUGCUGUCUGCAAAGUAGGGUUGCUGUCUUCAAAGUCCUCUCAGAUUGGAACUGGAGACUUGAAAACCCUGAGUGAACCACAGGGAAGCUAUACCCAGCUGAAGACAAACACUGACCAGGAAAGCAGGUUGGAAUCUUUUCCUCCACCAUCAACUGACCUUCCUAAGGAGUGCUUACCUACAAAGGCUUCUUCUACGGCAGAAUUGGAAAUUGCCAGUACUCCUGAACUGCAGAAGCAUCUCGAACAUGGACCUUCCACAUCUGAUGUCCUUUCAAAUAAGCCAGAAGAGAAAGCAGAUGUCAAUAGUAAUAGUCCUAAUUGUCGUGUAGAAAAAAAGGUAGAACCUUCAACUUUAGGUUGCCAGUCACAGAAUUUAAAGGAGUCUUCAGCAAAAGUAGAUACUGAAAGCUGUUGUACAAGAAGCAACAAUAAAAUCCAGAAUGCCCCAUCCCGGAAGUCGGUUUUGACAGACCCAGCCAAACUCAAGAAGCUGCAGCAGAGCGGUGAGGCCUUUGUGCAGGACGACUCUUGCGUGAACAUCGUUGCGCAGCUGCCCAAGUGCCGGGAGUGUCGCUUGGACAGCCUCCGAAAGGAUAAGGAGCAGCAGAAAGACUCGCCCGUGUUUUGCCGCUUCUUUCACUUCAGGAGGUUACAGUUCAACAAACAUGGUGUAUUACGGGUAGAAGGCUUCUUAACACCAAACAAGUAUGACAGUGAAGCAAUUGGCUUGUGGUUGCCUUUAACCAAAAAUGUUGUUGGGACUGAUUUGGACACAGCAAAGUAUAUCCUGGCAAACAUUGGAGACCACUUCUGUCAAAUGGUGAUUUCUGAAAAGGAAGCUAUGUCAACUAUUGAGCCACACAGACAGGUUGCUUGGAAGCGAGCUGUCAAAGGUGUUCGAGAAAUGUGUGAUGUGUGUGACACCACCAUCUUCAACCUGCACUGGGUGUGUCCUCGGUGUGGGUUUGGAGUGUGUGUGGAUUGCUAUCGGAUGAAGAGGAAAAAUUGCCAACAGGGUGCUGCCUACAAGACUUUCUCUUGGCUGAGAUGUGUGAAGAGUCAGAUACAUGAACCAGAGAACCUCAUGCCUACGCAGAUCAUUCCUGGAAAAGCCCUCUAUGAUGUUGGAGACAUUGUUCAUUCUGUAAGAGCAAAAUGGGGAAUAAAGGCAAAUUGUCCGUGUUCAAACAGGCAGUUCAAACUCUUUUCAAAGCCAGCCUCAAAGGAAGACUUAAAACAGACUUCCUUGGUUGGAGAAAAAUCGACUCUUGGUGCCGUGCUCCAGCAGAGCUCCUCGGGGUUGGAGCCCGUGGCUGUAGGUGGGGAGGCUGCGUCCAAGCCGGCCAGCAGCGUGAAGCCUGCCUGUCCGACCAGCACAUCUCCUUUGAACUGGCUGGCAGACCUGACCAGCGGCAAUGUCAACAAGGAAAACAAGGAAAAACAACCAACGAUGCCAAUUUUAAAGAACGAAAUCAAAUGCCUUCCACCCCUACCCCCCUUGAGCAAAUCCAACACAGUCCUCCACACCUUUAACAGCACAAUUUUGACACCUGUAAGCAACAACAAUUCUGGUUUCCUCCGAAAUCUCUUGAAUUCCUCUGCAGGAAAGACAGAAAAUGGACUCAAGAAUACACCAAAAAUCCUUGAUGACAUCUUUGCCUCUUUGGUGCAAAAUAAGACUUGCUCCGAUGUAUCUAAGCGGCCACAAGGACUGACCAUCAAGCCCAGCAUCCUGGGCUUCGACACUCCUCACUACUGGCUGUGUGAUAGUCGCCUGCUGUGCCUGCAAGAUCCCAACAACAAGAGCAACUGGAAUGUGUUCCGGGAGUGCUGGAAGCAAGGGCAGCCAGUGAUGGUGUCAGGAGUGCAUCAUAAACUGAACACUGAACUUUGGAAACCGGAAUCCUUCAGGAAAGAGUUUGGAAAUCAGGAAGUUGACCUCGUUAAUUGCAGAACCAAUGAAAUCAUCACAGGAGCCACAGUAGGAGACUUCUGGGAUGGAUUUGAAGAUGUUCCGAACCGCUUGAAAAAUGAAAAAGAGCCAAUGGUGCUGAAACUUAAGGACUGGCCACCAGGAGAAGAUUUUAGAGACAUGAUGCCCUCCAGGUUUGAUGAUCUGAUGGCCAACAUUCCACUGCCUGAGUACACAAGGAGAGAUGGCAAACUGAACUUGGCCUCAAGGCUGCCAAACUACUUCGUUAGGCCAGAUCUGGGUCCCAAGAUGUAUAAUGCUUACGGAUUAAUUACUCCAGAAGAUCGGAAAUAUGGAACAACAAAUCUUCACUUAGAUGUAUCUGAUGCAGCCAAUGUCAUGGUCUAUGUGGGAAUUCCCAAAGGACAGUGUGACCAAGAAGAAGAAGUCCUUAAAACCAUCCAAGAUGGAGAUUCUGAUGAACUCACGAUAAAGCGAUUUAUUGAAGGAAAAGAGAAGCCAGGAGCCCUCUGGCACAUAUAUGCUGCUAAGGACACAGAGAAGAUACGAGAAUUUCUUAAAAAGGUAUCAGAAGAGCAAGGUCAAGAAAACCCCGCAGACCACGACCCCAUCCAUGAUCAGAGCUGGUACUUAGACCGAUCACUAAGAAAGCGUCUUCAUCAAGAGUAUGGAGUUCAGGGCUGGGCUAUCGUGCAGUUUCUUGGAGACGUGGUAUUUAUCCCAGCAGGAGCUCCACAUCAGGUUCAUAACUUAUACAGCUGUAUCAAAGUGGCUGAAGAUUUUGUUUCUCCAGAACAUGUUAAACACUGCUUCUGGCUUACUCAGGAAUUCCGCUAUCUGUCACAGACUCAUACAAAUCAUGAAGAUAAAUUACAGGUGAAGAAUGUUAUCUACCAUGCAGUGAAAGAUGCGGUUGCUAUGCUGAAAGCCAGUGAAUCCAGUUUUGGCAAACCCUGAGGGUCCCAGAGGCGCCUUACCCCUGCACAUUGGAAGUGAAUUACUGGCAGCUGUUCAAACUCUUCAGGCAGGAAUCCUGUGGACUUUGAGACUCAUGUUACCUCAUCUUCUUUUUUAAACUGUACCCACCUGAGUCAACACACACUUCAUCAGUGUUACAGGUGUAAGAGUUUGCACCAGGAACUCGUCUUAAAAGCACAGAAAUGUGAUGCUAUAGUGAUUUCUGAGUGGUUAUUACAAUGCUAACAUGGAAACAAGUUUCCCCCCAGCCAAGCUGAAACUCCUGUCACACUUUUGUAAAGAAACACUACCACCUUUAGAAGUGACAAUUAACCAAAAAACCAAAUAGUGACGGGUUAAAUGGUUCUAAGAAGAUUGUGGUUUGUGUUUUCACAUCCUGUAAUGUCUGCAAAACGCCCAUCUGCAUCUGCUGCUUCUAGUAGGAGGAAGACGAAGGCAAUUACUCUUGAGAUAAAACUCAAGGUAAUUGCCCAGCACGAAGGUGGUAAGCCAGUAAUGAUCAUCGCACAUGAGUUAGGAAUUUUCCAUUGAUGAUAACCAUCUUAAAGGAUAAGAAGUGAAUCAAUGAUGCAGUGAAACAGCAUCAAUUAAAUACACCAUCAUCAUGAAGAGCUGGGCUAACUGAUGAUAUUGAAAAAUUACUUGUCACAUGGAAGACCAGAUACAGAAACGUACACCACUUAGCUGACUGAUGACCCAGGCUAAAGGCAAGAAGUCUCUUCUAUUCACUCUUUAUACACAAGUGUUUAUAGCAAGUCAUGGGAGGUUUCAAUGCUUCAGAAGCAUCAUAAUUUUCAUAAUGUGAAAUUCAACAGUGAGGCAGCAAGUGCCGAUGCUAAAGGUGUUGAAGCUUUUAAGGAAGAGCUAUCUAUAUAGGAUGAUUGUGGAUGAGAAAUAUUUGCCAGAACAAAAAGUUAAUAUUGAUGAAACAAGCUUGUUCUAGAACUGUAUGCCAGAACAUACAUACAUUCAUGAGGAGUCCAGGACAAUGUCAGGCAUUCAGAGACCAUUUAACACUGCUUUUGGGUGGAAAUGUUGCAGGGUUCAAAUUAAAGCCUUUCCUAAUGUACUAAUUAGAUAAUCCUAGAGCAUUCAAGAAUGUGAGAAAGCAUACACUUCCCAUUUGUUAUUACCAUAAUAAGAAAGCCUGGAAACAGCAUGGUUUGGAGACUUUUUUUAAACUGUUUGUCACAGGCAAGAGAAUACUGUAGGCAGAACAACAUCCCAUUCCAGCGGAUCUUGGACAAAGCUCCAGGGCAUCCACAGCAUGUCUGUGACAUGCAUCCUGAUGUAAAGGUGGUGUAUUCGCCUCCAAACACAACCAUGCUCUAAAUGUGAACCAUCACUGCAGCAUGGGAAGAAGUCACACAGCAAUGCAUGAAUGGCAUUUGGAAGAAAGUUCUGAAGACCUACAUGGACGCACUGAAAAGCUUUUAACAAAGAUUCUACUGUUGCCGAAAUAGUGAAGUAACAAGAUGCUAGUGCUUGGGUAGCAGAAAGAAUUGGACGUUGACAAAGAGGAUAUUCACGAGCUUCUCGGCAUCGAGGCUGAAGAGCCUUCCAAAGAGCUGAUUGAACUGGAGGAAGAAAGAAGAAGUUGAGGCAGAGGAAGAAGUUACCCAAGGCACCAAGAAAGUUCACAGCAAAUAAACUGGCCGAGGAGUUUGCUGCUCUCACCAGUGGUGUAUGGAAGUUAGAAGAAACGGAUGUUAGUUACAAGAGAUUGGCAAGACCUGGCAGGCAGAUACAGGAAGCUCUUGCUUACCAUAGAGAAGAAAAACUGUGCAGUCAAAACUGGUUAUCUUCCAGAAGAACAAACAGUAUGCCUUGUAAACCAAGUGUCAAUGCCCCAGGUCUUUCUACCAGCUAUUCUCAGGCCUCAUCAGGAGAGACUGAUGACCCUGUGGCUGUAGCAUCCCCAUCAUCCAGCAGGUAACUGUACUCCAAUCCUUCAAAAUUCUUCAAAUCCAGGGUGCUUUCAGCUGGGUACACUAAUGGUGAGUACCCAUUACAGCCAUUCUGUUUUUCACUUUCAAGUACAGUAUUCAAUAAAUUACAUGAGAUAUUCAACAAUUUAUUAUAAAAUAGGCCUGUGUCAGAUGAUUUUGCCCAACUAUGGGCUAAUGUAAAUGUUCUGAGCACAUUUAAGGUAGG